UGACCUCAAAUCAGGUAGGACUACCCGCUGAACUUAAGCAUAUCAAUAAGCGGAGGAAAAGAAACUAACAAGGAUUCCCCUAGUAACUGCGAGUGAAGCGGGAAAAGCUCAAAUUUAAAAUCUGGCGGUCUUUUGGCUGUCCGAGUUGUAAUCUAGAGAAGUGUUAUCCGCGCUGGACCGUGUACAAGUCUCCUGGAAUGGAGCAUCAUAGAGGGUGAGAAUCCCGUCUUUGACAUGGACUGCCAGGGCUUUGUGAUGCGCUCUCAAAGAGUCGAGUUGUUUGGGAAUGCAGCUCAAAAUGGGUGGUAAAUUCCAUCUAAAGCUAAAUAUUGGCGAGAGACCGAUAGCGAACAAGUACCGUGAGGGAAAGAUGAAAAGAACUUUGGAAAGAGAGUUAAACAGUACGUGAAAUUGCUGAAAGGGAAACGCUUGAAGUCAGUCACGUCGUCCAGGGAUCAACCUUGCUUUUGCUUGGUGCACUUUCUGGUUUGACGGGUCAGCAUCAAUUUUGACUAUUGGAAAAAGGCUCUAGGGAAUGUGGCAUCUUCGGAUGUGUUAUAGCCCUUGGUCAUAUACAAUGGUUGGGAUUGAGGAACUCAGCACGCCGCAAGGCCGGGUUUUAUACCACGUACGUGCUUAGGAUG
rnacentral:rRNA from 1 species